GACGAACGCUGGCGGCGUGCCUAAUACAUGCAAGUAGGACGCACAGUUUAUACCGUAGCUUGCUACACCAUAGACUGUGAGUUGCGAACGGGUGAGUAACGCGUAGGUAACCUGCCUAUUAGAGGGGGAUAACUAUUGGAAACGAUAGCUAAUACCGCAUAACAGUAUGUGACACAUGUUAGAUGCUUGAAAGAUGCAAUUGCAUCGCUAGUAGAUGGACCUGCGUUGUAUUAGCUAGUAGGUAGGGUAAUGGCCUACCUAGGCGACGAUACAUAGCCGACCUGAGAGGGUGAUCGGCCACACUGGGACUGAGACACGGCCCAGACUCCUACGGGAGGCAGCAGUAGGGAAUCUUCGGCAAUGGGGGGAACCCUGACCGAGCAACGCCGCGUGAGUGAAGAAGGUUUUCGGAUCGUAAAGCUCUGUUGUUAAGGAAGAACGAGUGUGAGAAUGGAAAGUUCCAUACUGUGACCGGUACUUAACCAGAAAAGGGACG
rnacentral:rRNA from 1 species